rnacentral:misc_RNA from 1 species
UUUGCUUCAUUCUUUGACUGCUCUGCUCCCCCUUCGAAUGGAUUGGAUCCGCUGCCCCUCUAAUAGAAGCGGAAGAUGCGGGCUUAGAGCUUUCAUCCCGCUUUACCUACUUCAAUGGAAAGGGGGGAAUCGCCCAUCUAAUAGCCCUUUCUUCGGCAACGGUCUUUCCAAGCAAGAUGCACUUCUUACCGGCUUUCAUCUUAAUUAAGUACCAGAUAGAAGAAACUAUUAUUAAG